GGGACCCAGAGUCGAAAUGCUAUUUGCAGAAAGAUGCUGAAAACUGGGGGUUCCAUCAUCAUCAAUUCCUCCCUGUGCCCACCUCUGCCAUUCUCAUCCUUGCUCAGGCCGUGUGCACUAGCAACCUGUGCAAGGCACAACAGGCCAGCUCAUAAGCAAAGUCCUCAUAUUAUGGCUGUAAAGAAAGUUUACAUCCAGACAAGGAAGCAGAAGAAGCUACACUUUAUUGUGGGUGGGUAUGCCUACCUGCUGCCCAAAACCUCCGUUAUUCUCCGAUGCCCCACAAGGAGGUUCCGGAAGUCACUGAUCUUCUGGGAAAAGGAUAACAAGAGGCUCAUCAGCUCAGCUCACAUCACCAUUGCACCCUAUGGGUACAUGAAAAUCCAUCGUUUGAAACCUUCAGACACUGGGAUAUAUAC
rnacentral:lncRNA from 1 species